GACGAACGCUGGCGGCGUGCUUAACACAUGCAAGUCGAACGAAGUGGCGAACGGGUGAGUAACGCGUAAUCAAACUGCCCUUCAGAGGGGGACAACAGUUGGAAACGACUGCUAAUACCGCAUACUGAAGGAGGGGAAUUAGUCGGAUUAGGUAGUUGGAGGGGUAACGGCCCACCAAGGCGAGGAUCAAUAGCCGGUCUGAGAGGAGGAUCGGCCACAUUGGGACUGUGACACGGCCCAGACUGCUACGGGAGGCAGCAGUGGGGAAGCUGCCGCAAUGGACGAAAGUCUGACGGAGCAACGCCGCGGGAGUGAUGACGGCCUUCGGGUUGUAAAGCUCUGUUAAUCGGGACGCGGUACCGGAAUAGAAAGCCACGGCUAACUACGUGCCAGCAGCCGCGGUAAUAC
rnacentral:rRNA from 1 species